rnacentral:rRNA from 1 species
GACGAACGCUGGCGGCGCGCUUAACACAUGCAAGUCGAGCGAAGCGGCGGACGGGUGAGUCACACGUGAGUAACCUGCCUUAGACAUUGGGAUAGCCUCGGGAAACCGGGAUUAAUACCAAAUGGUCUAAGAUGGACUCGCGUCCCAUUAGCGAGUUGGUGAGGUAACGGCCCACCAAGGCGACGAUGGGUAGCCGGCCUGAGAGAGUGAACGGCGACCUUGGAACUGAGAAACGGUCCAAACUCUACGGGAGGCAGCAGUGGGGAAUAUUGCACAAUGGAGGGCACUCUGAUGCAGCGACGCCGCGUGAACGAAGAAGGCUUUCGAGUCGUAGAGUUCUGUUGUUAGAGAAGCGUUAGUAACUGAACGUCCCCUGACGGUAUCUAACCAGAAAGCCACGGAACUACGUGCCAGCAGCCGCGGUAAUAC